AUGAGGGGGAAUCACCGGAGAAGCCUCACGGGACGAGCGAGGUUUGAGGUAGCCUCAUGUAAUGAACGAGGUGAGGAAGCCACAUGUGACAAUGGUAUGGAGUCUAGAAUAUUAGUACGGGAAGACACGGUGGGAUGGGUGGAUGAGGACAAUGCAUGGGUGAUAGGUGUAUCUGCAAAAGUGAGGAAAGAAAUAUCGUCAAUGGGAGGAUGGACGUGGAUUGAAAGGAUGAGACUCAUCAAAAGCCACAUCCCGAGAAAUGAGCAUCCCAUGACCAACAUGAUCCUAAUAAGUGACAUUCAAUAG
rnacentral:rRNA from 1 species